GCAUAUCAAUAAGCGGAGGAAAAGAAACCAACAGGGAUUGCCCUAGUAACGGCGAGUGAAGCGGCAACAGCUCAAAUUUGAAAUCUGGCCCUCGGGUCCGAGUUGUAAUUUGUAGAGGAUGCUUUUGGUGCGGUGCCUUCCGAGUUCCCUGGAACGGGACGCCAUAGAGGGUGAGAGCCCCGUCUGGUUGGACACCAAGCCUCUGUAAAGCUCCUUCGACGAGUCGAGUAGUUUGGGAAUGCUGCUCUAAAUGGGAGGUAUAUGUCUUCUAAAGCUAAAUACCGGCCAGAGACCGAUAGCGCACAAGUAGAGUGAUCGAAAGAUGAAAAGCACUUUGAAAAGAGGGUUAAAUAGUACGUGAAAUUGUUGAAAGGGAAGCGCUUAUGACCAGACUUGAGCCCGGUUAAUCAUCCAGCCUUCUGGCUGGUGCACUUGGCCGGCUCAGGCCAGCAUCAGUUCGGCGCGGGGGAUAAAGGCUUCGGGAAUGUGGCUCCUCCGGGAGUGUUAUAGCCCGUUGCGCAAUACCCUGCGCUGGACUGAGGUUCGCGCAUCUGCAAGGAUGCUGGCGUAAUGGUCAUCAGCGACCCGUCUUGAAACACGGACC
rnacentral:rRNA from 2 species